AAGCAGAAUCAUAAGCAAAUUGUUUGAAUUUUACUCGAAGUAAAAUUAGAGUAUGAAAGCUAUUUGACAGUCUUGGAGCACAAAUCCAAAAAAGAGGAAAGCAUAGUUCAUUUCUUUAACAAUGCAAAAACAUACAUCUAUGUUAAAUACCUAAACAGUACUCAAUUUUAAUGCAAUAUAUACUUUAUGCUGACUUUAACAGUCAUUUAAUAAUCAAUAGCUGUACAAAUUUGUUUACCUUGGUUUUCUUUAAAGUAAACCACCAGAGUCCAAGCAAAACAAAGUGUAAGUGUGUGUGUGUGUGUGUGUGUGUGUGUGUGUGUGUGUGUGUGUGUUAAAAAAAAAAAAAAAAGACAGGUACAGCAUCUGUACAGAUGAUAGUCCCAUGUUUUUUGCUUUAAAAGAAAUCACCUGGAUUUUGAUAAAUGUGACACACAAUGAUGCAUGAGGUAACUUUUUCAAAUUCUAGGAACCCUGUACCAUGUUUCCAAAUGGUGCUAUGACUUGAAGUCUUUGGAAAACUGACUUGUUUAAGUAGUGACAAGGUGGCCAUUCACUAAAAAUACCUCUUUGUUUUUGGCAUGCCAAGUACUUGGCCCUGAAAGACUUCUAGUGGUACCUGGUUUUGUCAGCUUUAGACGAUCAUGCAGAAGAAUUGUAAAAAUUGCGUUUCCCUAGAGAUAUGUUAAGUGAAUUGAACUGGGUCACAUUCAUAGCGUUGCAUCCCCUAAAGUAUGGCUAGCUGCCACCUUUCCUUUUCCCAGUUUGUCACUCUGUUGCCAAAGCCCCUGCUUUGCAAAAGUGCUCCAAGCACAGAAACUGUACAAGUGUCCCCACUCCUCUUUUGUGAGCAGGCAUGUUCCACAUCAUGCUUCAGUAAGAAGUUCAUCAUAACACCCUUAGGGGCCACUACUGUUUUUAAAAUAUUUACUGUGAUGAAGCUGCCAUUUAAGCUUAAAGUCAAGUUUUGAGAAUUCAAAGGCACAAUUAGAACACAAUGGUGGUGGUGUAAUAUGCAAGUACCACACCCCCACUCGUGAAUCUCUCCUCAGAUUCCCCUGCCUCAGAGGGGUGUUGAUCUCCAUUACUACUUUAGACAGCAGCCCUUCACAUCACAAGAUUUGGCCAAACCUGCCUUAAGCUCUUCCCUGAAACUGAUAUUUGUUGAGUAAUUUUCCACUGGGCACUCUCAGGGAACCAAUCUUGACCGACCACGUCAAUACUGGUUCCCUGUUGUGAAAUUAGAGUGCCACUCUCCCUCCAUGUUUGUCUUUAGGUCUCAGCCCUCCCCUUCCCCCCUUCUUUUAAAUUUCAAUGUUAGGGCUAGGUAGCGGCUAGUGCAUAAGGAAUGGAGAGAGGACACUGGGUCGAAUGUGCUUCCUUCCUUCCUUCCUUGUCCAGAGCUAAAGAGGCAGCUGCAACUUCUGCCCUUGUGUUCCCUGUCCAUAAAGCUUGGAGUUGUCCAGUGCCCACAGUGAUAUUAGACACUUUGAAAGGGAACAAUAAGAGAGAGAGUCCUUCUGCACUGGCCGGUGGAGUAUGGGCACGCACAUUCUGUACACUUUCAAAGGGUAGCGUAGCUCCUUCACACCUUAGGAGCUCCUAGAAACAUCCUGCCUGUGACUGAGAGAGCAAGAAUACUCUAAGAGCUUGGGAAGCUGUAAAAAAACCACAGAAUGUAGUGUUUAAUUUUAGCCCUAGGUUGGGAUUCUAGAUAGUGGGGCUCUGGGUGCUCCCUGGGGGCUAUGCCAGAAACAGGAGCAAUAUGAGGGGCUGGACAGGCACAAGCCCAAGUGCUAGGCUGAGACAAAGAGGCAAGAUUUUCCCUACAUCCUCCACUGAGGACCUCUAAUCAGACUGCAGAGGGUGAAAGGUCUGAAGCAGGCAGGGGAAAAGAAAGUGAUAAAGCAUUGUUCUACAGUGAAUUCCUGCCCCAAGUCCUGCUCGAGGGGAGUUCCUAAAGCUUUUCAGCAGACAGAUUCUGGGGAGUCCACCAGCCCAAAGACAUCAGUCUUUGGUGGAGCAUCCACAGGCCCCAGUCAUCAAGCAGGAAAUACCUUGGGUCGCCAAUUCCUACAUUUGAUCUAAAAUUAAACACCAAUAAGGAAACUGACAGAUCAAAACUUUACUAAUGUAGCAGUGGGGAUAUAAAACACCACCCACCUUAUGAUUUCUUUACUCUUCCCAGUUUAAAAAUAGAGGUGGGGUCCUAGUCAUCUUGUGUGUUUGCGAUACAGUAACAUGCAAUAUAUUGCAGCAAGCUUAGGUCAAGUCUGAGUUUAAGCAAAGUGCACUUUUGACUAUAGUACUUAAAAACAGUGACUAAUUAUAUAUAAAAAAGCUUGUUGAUCUAGACUAAUAUGUAAUCAGAUGCCACCUAUAAAAAGGCAUAUGUAUGAUCACCUUUUUGAUCUAUCUGCAAAUGCCAUGAACAAAUCAGCAACUGCUAAGAAAAUAUUUAAGUUAUCAACGGUAGCCUCUCCAUCAUUUCACUAUGGCUCAGGAAAAACCCUGCAAUUUUUCAGCCUUACUCGGAGGAUCCACCAUAAUUACACUAGCACUUUAGUUCAGUGAUGUGGUAUCAAUCUCUCUCUCAUACACAUGCAUACGCACCUCUAACCCCACAGGAUCAUUCUAGUUUGAAGUGAUAGUAUUUCCAAAAGAACUGCCACUCUUUUCUUUCUUGUGCUUGCUGACUUGUGGUUAUUAUUCCAACUAUAAAAUAAGGUGCCUUUUAAUAUUGUUAGUUGUCUUUGGUACCUCAUUUAUGUCCCCCACCCUCCCGCAAGUAGUGGAGUCUAUAUUAUGGCGGGGGAAAAAUUGAAAAGGGAAAAGAAAAUGACAAGCACGCUUGUGAAAACUGGCUUCCCCCUGGAUUUUCUAUAGGUCUGUCUAUACUACCCCCCCAGAGCGUGAUCGAUCCAUCCCAUGUAGUCUAGAUACGAUAAAUCAACCCCAGCCUGCUCUCCUGUCAACUCCGGUAUGCCACCAGGUCAAGAGGUGCAGGCAUAGUCGACGGGGGAGUGUCAGCAGUUGCCUCACGGCAGUGAGUAGAUUUAAGUACAUCAACUUCAGCAAUCCCCUCCUCCCCCCACACUGUAGAUAAGGCCUAAGUGUGCUGUUAUGCCCUGUGUCAUAAGGGAACAUUUUCAGAAAUGUGCUUUUAAAACUACCCUAGUGAUGCAAAGUUCAACUUGUAGGGUAAACCAGGUGUAGCACUGCUUUGCAUCAUUAGAACAGCAAAACACCAUCUGGACCAACACUUUGAAGAUUAUUAUUCACUUUUCAAAUCUCUCUCUCUCUGUCCCUGCACUUACUUCUUUAUCCUCUUUCCUAAUGCAGCACGUGAAACUAAAAAUUGAUCCAGAAAAGAACUUACUUUAAACUUUUUAAUCAUUGCACUACUAGAUAUUAGUCACCAUAAGGACUAUAUUUUCUUUCUUGGCUUAGGUUCUCUUUGUUUGAUGGCUUUCCUUAACAGGAGCCUUCAAAAUAGGGAAGGGAAGAAACUGAAGAUGACAAGAAACAGAGAAAUUGGUGAGACACUACUAAUAAAUAUAAAAAAGACAUUGUGUUAAGCUAAUAACUUACUAGGACAAGGUCUUGUAUUGCUAGAGAGGAGUAUUUUCCCUGAAGGGUUUCAAAGACUGUAAAAGCAUAUAGAAAGCACUAGUAUGUGUCUUAUGUUUUGCCCAUGGAUUUCUUGAUUAUGAAAUGUUGAGCUUGACCGCAGGGGAGACUGAAGAUCAUUCUUUAACUACAGACGAGAUGCAACAGCCAGCAAAACUUCCGUUCACCCUGUACUACUCUGACAAUGUACCUCUACUCUGAUCACCACUCUGAGCGCUUGUCAAGCGUGGCCCAUUGAGUCUCUGGCCUCUUUACUAAGAGGGUGCUAAUUGCUGCUAACUGGGAUGAUGGUUUUAGUGACAUAGGUGCCUAGUUACUGAGAAAACUGGACUCAGCUCUCCCAACUCAUUUUUACACAGCUCACCUACACACUAUCAGAAAGCUACAUUCAGUCACUGAGCCAUCUGUUCCCUUCCUCUUCCCUACAGUUCAGUUGUAGUUUAGACAGAAAGAACAGUAGCAUUGUCACCUAGUAUAUUUGUGUUUUCCCUGUGAAAUGACAGUAACUGUGUCACAGUUGUGAUGACUGUCUUCAUGUGUGACUGAAUCAUGUCACAGCUCCGAAAAAGAUAUGUGUGAGCCUCUAUUCCAUAUGGACAGGAGAAGAGUAAGACCCUAAAAUAUUGGAAUUUUACCACAUCUACAGUGAUGCAUAGUGGAAACUCUUGUCAAUGGGGAUUUGCAGAGGUGUGACAUUAUUUAUUAAUCUGUAUGUGUGGUGGUAACAGCAUGAUUUUAAAAACAAAGUAACAUUUGUGGAAAAAUGGUAAAGACAAAUGCCACUAGCGCCAUGUGAGAUGUGAUGCUAGGCUAAUUUUGGGAUGUGGGAAAUGCCCAUGAUCCAUUGUAGUAGAAUAAUCCCUGUUAAAAUCAUUACAGUUUUUUGCCUUUUCCUUAAUGAACAUUAACAUGGUAUUCCCUAACCCACAUAAAGCUAACUCCUUGCAAAUGGGUAAUUAGGCAACACUUUACUUGCAAACUGUAAAGGCUUUAAUGGCAACUGCUGUACUAGCAUGCUUCUGCCGGAGUAGCACUUUGCAGUGCUUCAGCCCUGUUCUCGCCUUUUUAAAGAAUAUUUUCUCCCUGCUAUUAAAACAAAAAUUCCAAUAAAAAGCCCCAGUUCCCAGCACCGGCCAGUAGUUCUAUAGUCACACUAAAUACUGAAGAAGUAGUGGCCCUGGCCAAGGUUUUCUUUCCCUGAAGCUUGCCUCCUUGAACACCUCUCUACUGCUCUCAGAGCAAAAAUGGCAACCCUUAGAAAACAGCUUGGGCCCCCUUUGAACCUUUGAGUGGCUGUCCACCUCAUGUAGUUCUCACUCCCCCUCAGCCUCUGACUGGAUGCCCAAAGAAGGGUUUUUCAUUCCCCUUCAGCCUAGCAACCUGGCGGGCUCUGUCUACAGGACUGGUUUCUCCGUCAGAAGAUCAUUCAAUACACUUAUUUAGAACACUUCUUAAAAACUACCUGAAAGUCCAUCUAAUCUUAAUACUACAGUGUUCAUGUAGUUUGUAUCCAUGCAUCAGUAAUCUUUACUAACUUCACCCUGGUAACAAAUAUAAAUAAUAUAAGGAGGUUUGUGAAGUUCUGCCCAUUGCUGAUUAAACUGUAAAUUAAACAUUGAUAAUUUGGUUGACCAGAUGUCCAGUUUUUAAAAAAGGGACAGUCCCAUUUUUUGGGACUCUCUCUUAUACAGGUGCCUAUUACCCCCCACCCCCUGUCCUGUUUUUUCACAGUUGCUAUCUGGUAACCCCACUGAUAAUCCACAGCUGUGUUUAAUCUGUCACAAAACCCUUAACUAGACACAGAACUGACACUUUCAUUUUAUAAUUCCCAAAUCUCUGCAAAAUGCCUUUAAAUGAAUAGAGAAUUUUGUAGCCUAUUGAUGACAGAGAGAAUAGGUGGGCUGAUUCUUGUCGACCAAAUCAAUGCCAAGGCCAGCCAAUGAUCCAAUAGUACAUUCUGGCCUAAACAGUGCUAGCCAGAUUAAAUUGCCUCCCACCACCACUGACAGGACAUUUUUAAGUACUGGAUCACAAGUCUCUAACAAAGCAGAAAUCAAAGCAAUCUCACUACACUAUUUAAAUAACAGAAACCACCCUUCAAAAUGUUGCAUUUUAAUGAAUAACCUUAAAAACAACCAUUUUUUUUCCAAGCAUCAUGGCUUGCGAUGCACUCCUGGCAUUCAUCAACCAGCUGCCUAUUUUAGACCCCUUUUGUGUCAGUAAGAUGCUGCCAUGACUAAGCAGAAAAUAAUACCGAAGCAGACAGCAAGAUCUAUUCCUCAAAGGAAAUUAUAAGACAGCAAAAUAAAUGAACUCAAGCUGAAAAAACCCCCAUAAUCCUGUUAUUCCCCCAAUCCUAUGACUCUGUGUGUGGAGCUCUAUCUAUCAAGCAGACAACUAACUGAUCUUUCCUUGCACAUCUGUGCAAGAAAAGAGGAAGCUGAGCUGUUUACUGGGAACCACAUGGUGCCCGGUCACGCACUUGCCAGGAAACCUAGAACCUUCUCCAUCAAGCCCAUUGUUCGGUAAGUCUGAGAAAACUGCUUCGGGCAGUAACAAAUGUUCCUUCAGUAUCAGAGAGUCUGUAAAGGAAGGGCUCAAACAAAGUAGCAUAACCCUGUGUAUAUAUUGAAUAUCCACACAUCUCUACAAAUCAUCGGUCAUCAACACUCGUCUCGUUUUCAGUCACGUAAUGCAUGUUCACACUUGGUCUUACAUGUGAGCUGCAGAAUACAAAUCAAUUUUGUUCCUCUUGUAUUAUAGUUUAAUUUCCAAAAUUUAGUAGUAAUUUCCAACAAAUAUUAGUAUCCCCCUGCAGGUUCACUCAUGAAAAUAUUGUACCCUGGUUCUUUACAGUGAAACCUUCAAGGGGAUAACUUAAUGUUUGCCACAGUGAUAGCGUACUAAUAAUGAGAUAACCAUGCAUAGGGGAAGCUACUUGAAUUCAGAAAAGUCCUUUUACAAAGGAAAAGGUAUUGGGUAAAACUUUCAAAUGAUUUAAAGCACUCCUGACUUUCAAUGAGACUUUGGUGCCUAACAGACUUUUGAAAAUUUUACCCAUUAAUGCCAAAAAGUGUGGCAGAAGAGUGCGUUUUUCAUAAACCUCAUGUAGGUGCAUGUACAACUAAUACAUGUUCACUGCAGUACAGAUUAGGUAUCCCAUUGUCUCAUGAAGUUCUAACUUAACCAUCUAGUGUCGAAACAUGUCUAUUACUGUAACAACGCAAUUUAAGGAAAUGCACAACACACUGGAAAUGGGAUUAAACAGAAUCUGUUGCACUAGCCACAGCUAGGGCUAUAAGAGAACAUCUGAAAUCUUGCUCAAACCCUGCUGUUCCUUGAUCAUGGAUUAUUUUUUAUAGAUUCAAUAUACAAGGAGUAUUAAACAUUUAUUCUCCACAACUGAAAUUUCAAUUUAGUUGCUACACUAGCUUAACGCUUCCAAUUGUAUCACCAAGAAUUUGGCAUUUGCCAUAUGCUAAAAAACUUUUAGCUAAACAGAAAGCUUCAGCAUUUAAAUAUUAGAUUUUUUUUAUUUUUACGUUCUUGUUUUUGUGGAAUUUUAAACUACAUAAAUAUUUAACGCUCACAAAUAUUCAAAAAUACUGCUGCUUAAAUUUCUAAUUAUGUACCAGAAGAAACAUUACAAUAAAAUAUUCUCAGUUUAGCUCUGCUUUUGCCAGAAAAACUGCAUGUUGAGAAUUUCAACACAGCUGUACUGGAGAAAGCAAAAUUAUGGCAAUAGAGAAGACCUUGAACUGGUCACUAUGGUCUACAUCAAUCUAUAUAUAGUGUAUAUACACAUGGCUGUGAGAGUCUGUACUCAUGAAUUUUUAUGUGUGCACGGUAUUCAUACUGCACAAAGUUGAUUUGUCUGAGUUUAUUUCUUCUACUGUAAGGAAUAGUGGGAAAAACCUCCUGAUAGCACUGAAACCAUAUGGAUUUCAUUUCACCCAUCCUGUGGCACUACUUUCAAUAGCAAUGGACUGAUUUUUGCAACUCAUUCAAAAUUUCAUUUUUUAUCUUAAUACACUUGUACAUAUAACAAACAGUACAAACUUUGGAAAUAAGAUGCAGUGGUCACUGAUACAAUACGUUUCACUACGGUAUAACCAAUACACGAGCAAACAUUGUAUUGUAUCAGAGACAUUUUUAA